CUGCUACCACCGCCUGUCCAGAGUCACCGCGUUGUCCAACAAAGCCAGAGCCCAUAAUGACUUGUGGCUGUGCAGGUAAGCCUUGGGUCUUGAAAAUAUUCGUCCGUCUCUUUGAGCCUGGGUGAAGCUUUCCACAGGAUGUCAUGGCCUCUCCAGCAUCCCGGGUCAUCCACUGGGUUCUCCAGGGAGCCGAUCAACCGUCCUUCACCCAGAGUUACAUUGCGUCCGAG
rnacentral:lncRNA from 1 species